CCUCUGUACAGAGCUUCCUGGCUCCCUAGCCCCACCCCUCAUUUCCUUCCCCACCCACCACCUUAAGAGUAGGGAGAAGAUCUUCUUACUCAUUUUUUUUGCUGUUUGUUUACUCGUUCUCCUUUCUGCUCCUGCUCCCAGACUCUUGGUCCCCACCCCCAUCCCCCCACACCCCCUCUUUUCUCCCACUCCCGGGUCCAUUUCCCUUUUUUUUUCUGGAGUGUGUGGUGAAACAGAAAAAUCAUGUUUAAUAAACGGAGAUUGUUCUUUUAU
rnacentral:lncRNA from 1 species